UACGUAGGGUGCAAGCGUUAAUCGGAAUUACUGGGCGUAAAGCGUGCGCAGGCGGUGAUGUAAGACAGAUGUGAAAUCCCCGGGCUCAACCUGGGACCUGCAUUUGUGACUGCAUCGCUAGAGUACGGUAGAGGGGGAUGGAAUUCCGCGUGUAGCAGUGAAAUGCGUAGAUAUGCGGAGGAACACCGAUGGCGAAGGCGAUCCCCUGGACCGGUACUGACGCUCAUGCGCGAAAGCGUGGGGAGCAAACAGG
rnacentral:rRNA from 1 species